rnacentral:lncRNA from 1 species
CGAGGCGCCGCGGGCCUCGUAGCGGGCGAGGGAACGCUGCGCCGCCGCGACGUGCGCCAAGGGCUGGCUUAGCGUCUCAGGUGGACGCGGCUCCAGCCGGGACGCCGCCGGGACCGCCGAGCGCAGACCCGAGGCCUGGAGCCCCAGCCUCUGGCUGCCGGCCCGCGCCCCGCGUUCUCCGCGCACUCGGGCCCGCCUCUCGGCCGUUUUCGCUUUCGCUUUCUUGCCGAGAGCGUUGAGGAAAAUGAAAGUGGCAGUGUCCAGAGCCUGCGCGGCAGCCGUCGGGGCGAGGGGCGCACCGUGCGGGGUGCCCAGCCUGGAGCGGGUGAGCCGGAGCCUCAGCCCGCACCCGGCGAGAUGGCAGUAGGCCCUGGACUUCCCUGCCCUGCAGGCAGUGAUGAGGCUGGGCAGCAGAGAAACAAGAAAAUGGACUCCCUCCUCCUGAAGACAAGAAUGCCAGCCACCAGCCAUGGGUGAGCUUCCAGCUUGACCAGAGUUUUUCUCUUAUUUGUUCCACAAUAUUGGUUGUUGUUAUAUAGGAUUGGUAUAGACCACAGUUGUUUGAUUUGGAGGUAGUUUGUUGAUUUUCACAGUUUGUUUAUAAAAACAGAAAAGCAAUA